rnacentral:rRNA from 1 species
GACAGAGGGGGCAAGCGUUGCUCGGAAUUACUGGGCGUAAAGGGCGCGUAGGCGGAAUGGCAAGUCGGUCGUGAAAUCCUUCGGCUCAACCGAAGAACGUCGAUCGAAACUGCCGUUCUUGAGGAUUGCAGAGGAGACUGGAAUUCCCGGUGUAGCGGUGAAAUGUGUAGAGAUCCGGAGGAACACCAGUGGCGAAGGCGACACGCUGGGCCAUACCUGACGCUAAAGCGCGACAGCAUGGGGAGCAAACGGG